rnacentral:rRNA from 1 species
UACAGAGGGUGCGAGCGUUGUCCGGAAUCACUGGGCGUAAAGGGCGCGUAGGUGGCGAGCCAAGUCCAUGGUGAAAGCUCGAUGCUCAACAUCGAGUCGGCCACGGAUACUGGUGCGCUUGAGCACUGUAGAGGCUAAUGGAAUUCCCGGUGUAGUGGUGAAAUGCGUAGAUAUCGGGAGGAACACCAGUGGCGAAGGCGGCCCACUGGAUCGGUACUGACGCUGAGGUGGCGAAAAGCGUGGGGAGCAAACAGGG